GAUGAACGCUGGCGGCGUGCCUAAUACAUGCAAGUCGAACGCACAGCGAAAGGUGCUUGCACCUUUCAAGUGAGUGGCGAACGGGUGAGUAACACGUGGACAACCUGCCUCAAGGCUGGGGAUAACAUUUGGAAACAGAUGCUAAUACCGAAUAAAACUCAGUGUCGCAUGACACAAAGUUAAAAGGCGCUUUGGCGUCACCUAGAGAGUGGACUCCGGCGGGUG
rnacentral:rRNA from 1 species